rnacentral:rRNA from 1 species
AGUCGAGGGGCAGCGGGGGAGUAGCAAUACUCCCGCCGGCGACCGGCGCACGGGUGAGUAACACGUAUGGAACCUGCCCGCAGCAGGGGGAUAAGCGGAAGAAAUUCCGUCUAAUACCGCGUAAGAACGUUGGGAGGCAUCUCCCGAUGUUUAAAGAUUUAUCGGCUGCGGAUGGCCAUGCGGCGCAUUAGCUAGUCGGCGGGGUAACGGCCCACCGAGGCGACGAUGCGUAGGGGUUCUGAGAGGAAGGUCCCCCACACUGGUACUGAGACACGGACCAGACUCCUACGGGAGGCAGCAGUGAGGAAUAUUGGUCAAUGGGCGCGAGCCUGAACCAGCCAAGUCGCGUGAGGGAAGACGGUCCUAUGGAUUGUAAACCUCUUUUGUCGGGGAGCAAAAGACGCCACGUGUGGCGUUCCGAGAGUACCCGAAGAAAAAGCAUCGGCUAACUCCGUGCCAGCAGCCGCGGUAAUACGGAGGAUGCGAGCGUUAUCCGGAUUUAUUGGGUUUAAAGGGUGCGCAGGCGGAAGAUCAAGUCAGCGGUAAAAUUGAGAGGCUCAACCUCUUCGAGCCGUUGAAACUGGUUUUCUUGAGUGAGCGAGAAGUAUGCGGAAUGCGUGGUGUAGCGGUGAAAUGCAUAGAUAUCACGCAGAACUCCGAUUGCGAAGGCAGCAUACCGGCGCUCAACUGACGCUCAUGCACGAAAGUGUGGGUAUCGAACAGGAUUAGAUACCCUGGUAGUCCACACAGUAAACGAUGAAUACUAAUUG